CCUACGGGCGGCAGCAGUGGGGAAUAUUGCGCAAUGGGCGAAAGCCUGACGCAGCGACGCCGCGUGAGGGAUGAAGGUCUUCGGAUCGUAAACCUCUGUCAGCAGGGACGAACGGUCACUGUGCUAAUCAGCAGUGACUUGACGGUACCUGCAAAGGAAGCACCGGCUAACUCCGUGCUAGCAGCCGCGGUAAUACGGAGGGUGCGAGCGUUAAUCGGAAUUACUGGGCGUAAAGCGCUCGUAGGCGGCAUGUCAAGUCAAGGGUGAAAUCCCCGCGCUCAACGUGGGAACUGCCUGUGAAACUGGCAAACUGGAGUGUGUGAGAGGAUAGUGGAAUUCCAGGUGUAGGAGUGAAAUCCGUAGAUAUCCGGAGGAACAUCAGUGGCGAAGGCGACUAUCUGGCACAUAAUUGACGCUGAGGAGCGAAAGCGUGGGUAGCAAACAGGAUUAGAUACCCCUGUAGUC
rnacentral:rRNA from 1 species